rnacentral:sRNA from 1 species
CUGGAUCACCUCCUUUCAAGGAUGUGUUCUGAGUAUUGUCCGGGCGUAAGUCUGGAUGAUUUUGGAAUGCUUCUGAAAAUAAAGUCCUUCCUGCAGGAUCGGGAAGGCACAGCCAGAGAGGCUGCCUGCACUUUGGUGCAACGCGCCGUCAACAUAUCCCUUCCAGCGACAAUCAAUGGACCCUUUUGGGGCUAGUAGCUCAGUUGGUUAGAGCACACGCUUGAUAAGCGUGGGGUCGGAGGUUCAAGUCCUCCCUGGCCCACCAGUCCUCUGUUCAUGGCGGUGCCGCAAGGUGCUGUUCAUGGCCUGAUGGGGGCGUAGCUCGGCUGGGAGAGCACCUGCUUUGCAAGCAGGGGGUCGUCGGUUCGAUCCCGUCCGCCUCCACCACACUUUACUGGUGUUGAGAGGUCUGGGAAUGAUUGUCGCCGGAAGAUAAUGGAGAUCGGACGGAUAGCUUGUGGGACCGCGUUGGCGGUGCAUGAGGUAUUGCGGUCUGGUAAGUUUGCUCUUUGAUAAGUGAAUAGGUUGGUGCGUUUGUGGACGCGCCCUGAUUGCGGGUUGGUCUGACCCGUGUGAUGGUCCGAGCAGUUGGAGUAUCACAUGCUAAGCGAUCUGGGCGUAUGCGUUCACAAGCGAGUAUGAAUAUGUGUUGAUUGUGCUGAUGCACUGCACUUUCUUAUGUGCGGGUGUUGUUGCUCGAUCUGUCGGUUUUAUGUGAGUGAUCAUGUAUGGCUGGUGGUUUGAGUGGAUGGCUCCUGUGCAUGUGUGGGCAAUGAGCGCGAUAAGGGCAUUCGGUGGAUGCCUUGGCACCAGGAGGCGAUGAAAGACGUGGCACGCUGCGAAAAGCCAUGGGGAGCCGCGAGCAGGCUUUGAUCCGUGGAUAUCUGAAUGGGGCAACCCACCCAGCGAUGGGUAUCAUGUUCUGAAUACAUAGGGACAUGAGGCGAACCCGGGGAACUGAAACAUCUAAGUACCCAGAGGAAAAGACAUCAAUUGAGAUUCUGCUAGUAGUGGCGAGCGAACGCGGAACAGGCCAGUGGCUGUUUUUGAAGAAGCAGAACGGAAUGGAAAGUCCGGCCAGAGCGGGUGACAGUCCCGUAUGUGUCA